rnacentral:rRNA from 1 species
UACGGAGGGUGCAAACGUUGCUCGGAAUCAUUGGGCGUAAAGCGCACGUAGGCGGCCUGUUAAGUCGGGUGUGAAAGCCCUGGGCUCAACCCAGGAAGUGCACUCGAAACUGGCGGGCUUGAAUAUGGAAGAGGGUCGCGGAAUUCCCGGUGUAGCGGGGAAAUGCGUAGAUAUCGAGAGGAACACCUGCGGCGAAGGCGGGUUGCUGGGCUGACACUGACGCUGACAGCGCGAAAGCUAGGGGAGCGAACGGG